rnacentral:rRNA from 1 species
AUGGCACCCCCACUCCCUUUGGCAGCAUCUACUAAUUUGGAACUUAAUUUGAAAGCCAUAUUUCGACCCGGACGGUUUUGGGAUGCUUCUAAUAACCAACGAAUGGCAAGUGCUCUUUGUUGUUUAGAUCCUAUUUCAAUCGGAACUUUCCGCGUCGAUCCUUUUUUAUUACGUCUUGUUUUACUCCUAUAUUGGGAGUUACUCUACAUAUUGCUUGACGUAAAACCAAUAGUGGAUUUUUUUCUGUCUUUUGUUGAAUCUUUUUCACGGCUCGAUAGAGAAUUUGAUAAGCCAAUGAUUUUUUUCCGUCUUUCAUAA